GAUGAACGCUGGCGGCGUGCCUAAUACAUGCAAGUCGAGCGAACGGACGAGAAGCUUGCUUUUCUGAUGUUAGCGGCGGACGGGUGAGUAACACGUGGAUAACCUACCUAUAAGACUGGGAUAACUUCGGGAAACCGGAGCUAAUACCGGAUAAUAUUUUGAACCGCAUGGUUCAUAAGUGAAAGACGGUCUUGCUGUCACUUAUAGAUGGAUCCGCGCUGCAUUAGCUAGUUGGUAAGGUAAUGGCUUACCAAGGCAACGAUGCAUAGCCGACCUGAGAGGGUGAUCGGCCACACGGCAACUGAGACACGGUCCAGACUCCUACGGGAGGCAGCAGUAGGGAAUCUUCCGCAAUGGGCGAAAGCCUGACGGAGCAACGCCGCGUGAGUGAUGAAGGUCUUCGGAUCGUAAAACUCUGUUAUUAGGGAAGAACAUAUGUGUAAGUAACUGUGCACAUCUUGACGGUACCUAAUCAGAAAGCCACGGCUAACUACGUG
rnacentral:rRNA from 1 species